GCUCAAGUCUAAAAUUAAUGGCUGCUAUCAGCAGCCUUGCAGCUCUCUUCUCACUCAUGCAGCUACCAAUAGCUAGCGUUCUAGUGCAGAGCUAACUACUAAGUAGAGUAGCAACACUCGGUAAACAAGUUUGGCAACGUGCUCUUCUGAAAAGGCUGCAAUGGCAUUCCAAGUAAGCAAAACUCGAGAACGAAGCAUUAUUUUGCAAAUCCACGAAUUAAAUCCAAGAAAACAUGACUAGAAGCCACACACACACACACACACACACACACACACACACACACACACACACACACACACACACACACACACACACACACACACACACACACACACACACACACACACACACACACACACACACACACACACACACACACACACACACACACACACACACACACACACACACACACACACACUACCAUAUACCUCGCUUGCGCAUGCGCACCGAGGCAUAAUAAUUAUGUGUCUGUCAGACAAUCAAUCAGUUUGUACUAGGCCACCUUAUUAUUGAAGCCACUGUUAGCCUGUCCAAAACUACAGCUAGGUUUCACUAACGUGGGAAGUAAUACAAAAGGGUUUGUUUUGGUUUUAGGGUAUGGAUAUAGAGUUUUACCCUUAUAGUUUUCAAACUGAUACACCAGUCGGACCGAUAUUUCGUGUGUUUAUACCUGUCUCUAUGGUAGCCCAUACUAGCCACAGGGGAUCCAAUGUCCACGCUGCACUGCAGGGUCUUGUCAUAAAAUGACCAUACCUGAGGACGAUGAAAAAAGACACAUACGGCAUGAAUAGGCGUGGUUGUUGAGAAUAAAGAGAUUCAAAAAAAUCGAUUAAGAAACAAAGUAGAACAGAACAAUAUUCAUGAAGGAUUUGUGGUUACCAAGGUAGCUUCAUGGGUUAGUUCUAGUUAUUUACGGACAACAUUAGCAUGGAUAGAAUAGAAACAAGCAGUAAUAAUAAGACAACUAGCAACUUGAAAACAAUUAAGUAAUUCGAAGUCAAAGAUUCCAAGAGCAACCAAUACAAGUUCUGGCAGAGAGGCUCAUACUGAAAGACAGCUACUGAAAGGAAGCCCCCAAGUGCUGGUCCAUCCUAUCAAUGUGGGACAAGGAGAUGCAAUACUACUGGAGAUACAGAGUCAAAAUGGCCAGAGUGAGAAACACCUUACGGAUGGUGGCCAGGGACAAAGAACACAGAACACACAAUACUACCAGAAUCUCCAAGACACUCUCAGGGCUCGUGGAUGCUUUGAAGAGAACCAAAUGUGGUAGUAGGGUAAAAGAUUGAACUCGUAAACAAGUUACAAUGGACUCCAUUAUCAUCACACACCCCAAUCUAGAUCAUUACGGUGGCAUUAACUGACUGCUACAAGACUUCACUAUCACGGCUCCCAUUACAACAACUCUGGCAAGCUGUUUGAAAGUUGGGUAUUCUGGUGGUCCAUAAGACACGCAAUUAGGUGAGUGUUCCUGUCGGGUGAAAGAGAUCAAGUUAGGCAUUGGUUCCCGUUAACUGGAGAGGGUGAGAAUGGUAGACGACACACAAACAUUAAAACACUGCCAAUAGGUUUGUCAAUAGAAAUAGACACGAACAAAGAAGAAGGAUUUAAACCAAAACAGCUAAAUAAAACAAGUAUUCUGACAACUGUAAGGAUACCGGAGAGCAAGUAGGAUUACGAUGUGGUGUUGAGCGGAGACUCAUACGGUUAUGUCAUCGAUGAGAAACUAGGCAUAAAGGAUAAAUCGGUAGGAGUAUUCCAAGUGCCUCAUCAUGGAAGCAAAUAUAAUCUCGAUCACCUCAAAUCCAAACCAUCAACAGCUGAGUUCAGAAAUGUUUACUCGAGCUUCCAUGCACAUAUCAGUCACGGCGAUCACAGAGGCUAAAAUCAUCCACAUAGUGAAAUUAUCACAGGCAUUCUCUCUGCUGCUCCAGAAGAAAAGACGUUGUAAGAUAGUAGUCGCGACAACAUGGUUUAAAGAAUCUAAAAUUGACAAAACGAACAUUAGCAACUGGAGGGGGACUAUGUUGAUAUUUUCUACUUCAAGCAAGGCACUCCAUACGUCACCCUGGAUCCUAACGAUGAGAAACUGCCUGAGGGCUUACAGCUGUUUGUCAAAAAGGUGCGUGUUACAAACAGAAAUUAAUAGAAAUGGUAAGACUACACAGCUAGGAAAUUAUAAUUUAUACAGGUGCCAGCUCCAAUUAAAGAGUUUAAAAGACAAAUUUAGAGAAAAGAAUUUGCAGAGGAGGGAGGUUAGUCGUGAUGGAAACAGCUUCUUCAAUGCCGUCAGUGGAGCACUAACAAACAAGAACACACCCAUCCAGCUGAGAGAGAGGCUUGUUGAACACCUAAUGGGAUUGCAAGGUUUAUACUAUCCAAGAUCAGGAAUGACUACAAUGGAGGAAUAUUAUGAGAUCGUAAAUAAUUAUUUAUUGGCCUGGAUGGUCACUUCUCGUCUGAUAUUGAAAAGAUUUUGCCCGAGGCAAUGGCACGGACACUAAAUAUUCGAAUACAAGUUAUCAUUGCAAAUCCUGAACAAGACGAUAAGUUUUAUGGUAUCGAAUCCACCUAGACUGUUAUUCAGCUAAUACAUGAUGACACAGACAGUGGUCACUAUGACUACGCCCUGCCAGCCACGGCACAAGUGGUUACAGAGCAGAUUCCUGAGCAGAGAUAAGAAAACCCACUAUUAGCAAACGGAGGAGCUGCAGACGCCUCCAGUUCCCAAAUGACAGUGCUAAUCAGAAGAAAAACAGCCCACCCAAAGCCGUAUGUCGCAUCUGUAAUCAACUGGCAAGUCCGAAGAAUAUAUGGUACCAAUGUACAAACACUAAAUGUCCAAUAAAAAUAAACGCCAGUUGUGAAGAGAAGACAAGUCGUCUUUUAUAAGAAAUGCAUCAUCGUCAUCUUUUAUAAGAAAUGCAUCAUCGUCAUCUUUUAUAAGAAAUGCGAUUAUUGCCGGACUUGCAAAGAAUGCAACGGAAUAAUGGGAACAGUACAUGCUUCGUGUCAUAUUUGUGGGGGUGCUGGCCACGUCCCUUGUAUUAGAAGAGUGCCCGAACAAACAAGAGAUGGAUACACAUGUAGGAUAUGUAGAGAACAAAGCUUGUAGUGCAAUAGGCAGAAAAUUAUAUGCAUGUACCGUGUAUAAAACGUCGCACAUUGUCAAUCGCUAUCGAUGUAGAGUACAGUGUGAAUAAAGAAUUACUUUCAGUAUGGACACAAUAAUAUGAAUGAAGGAAAUACAGCAAUAGCUGGUGUGUUUAAUAAUAAUGUAUACGUGAUAUAUACUGUAGUGCUAGAAAUAAUUAUAUGAGAGCUUAAAUUGUGCUAUUGCUUCGAUUAAACACAGCGAUUUUAAUGGGGAUUGUACAGGCCUCGAAUAAAGGACUAUAGUUGUGCGA